rnacentral:rRNA from 1 species
GUAGGGUGCAAGCGUUAAUCGGAAUUACUGGGCGUAAAGCGUGCGCAGGCGGCUUUGCAAGACAGAUGUGAGAUCCCCGGGCUUAACCUGGGAACUGCAUUUGUGACUGCAUGGCUGGAGUGCGGCAGAGGGGGAUGGAAUUCCGCGUGUAGCAGUGAAAUGCGUAGAUAUGCGGAGGAACACCGAUGGCGAAGGCAAUCCCCUGGGCCUGCACUGACGCUCAUGCACGAAAGCGUGGGGAGCAAACAGGAUUAGAUACCCUGGUAGUCCACGCCCUAAACGAUGUCAACUGGUUGUUGGACGGCUUGCUGUUCAGUAACGAAGCUAACGCGUGAAGUUGACCGCCUGGGGAGUACGGCCGCAAGGUUG